GACAGAGGGUGCAAACGUUGUUCGGAAUUACUGGGCGUAAAGCGAGUGUAGGCGGUCUGAUAAGUCGGAUGUGAAAGCCCCGGGCUCAACCCGGGAAGUGCACUCGAUACUGUCAGGCUAGAGUAUCGGAGAGGUUGGUGGAAUUCUCGGUGUAGAGGUGAAAUUCGUAGAUAUCGAGAGGAACACCGGUGGCGAAGGCGGCCAACUGGCCCGGUACUGACGCUGAGGUGCGAAAGCGUGGGGAGCAAACAGG
rnacentral:rRNA from 1 species